rnacentral:rRNA from 1 species
UACCAGCACCCCGAGUGGUCGGGACGAUUAUUGGGCCUAAAGCAUCCGUAGCCGGCCUUACAAGUCCUCCGUUAAAUCCAGCUGCUUAACAGACGGGCUGCGGAGGAUACUAUAAGACUAGGAGGCAGGAGAGGCAAGCGGUACUCAGUGGGUAGGGGUAAAAUCCGUUGAUCCAUUGAAGACCACCAGUGGCGAAGGCGGCUUGCCAGAAUGCGCUCGACGGUGAGGGAUGAAAGCUGGGGGAGCAAACCGG